rnacentral:rRNA from 1 species
AUGGCCAACGCCUUUGCCCCCCCGGUGCGCCUCCGUGAUCGGCGACACUUCCAAGACGACCGUGAUAUCGACAUGUUCUACGCCCCACUCUCCCAGCUGCUCUCCGCGGAGCCAAACGGGAAAGUUCCGACCAAGUUCUACAUGGGCCAGGUCCGGAACAGGCACUGGAAACCGGUGGGGUUCCUCAACUUCACCUACAAGCUCGGCAAUGUCUACGUGGCUCCAUCAAUGGACCUAUCAGCACCUCCCAAAACAAGUAUGUGGGAUGUUGUUCUCCAGAAAGUAUGUGGGAGGCUGAUUCUACCGAAAGUAUGUGGGGGCUGA